CGGGCUUGUUAAAGUUUAGAUGAGUCAGUGUGUUCACUCGCUAGCUAAUUAGGCUCGGUCCUGGUCGCAUACUAUGCGCAAGCGCAAUGCUGGCGGUAGACUUCGGCUCCUGACCCCAGUUUUCCCAACCAAGAGGAUGUAGUCCCUGAGCGGGAGAGCACCCAUAUGAGGCUUGAAACCACAGCCUGAGCGAGGGCAGACGAGAUGCUGAGAUGGGCAGUGCCCCUGCGUCGUUGCUUCUUCCUGGGGAGACCUGGUUCCAUCUCCACCCUCCCACUCCUUGGGAACACGGGACACAGAGCCUGUGGACAUCCCAAGCCAUGCAUUCAAGCCCCAUCUACACUUCCACUAACUGCUAUUAUGUCUUACGAAUGCUAUCUGACCAAGUAAAGGAGGACUGGCAUCGUGCAUA